UACCUGGUUGAUUCUGCCAGUAGUCAUAUGCUUGUCUCAAAGAUUAAGCCAUGCAUGUCCAAGUAUAAGCAACUAUACCGUGAAACUGCGAAUGGCUCAUUAAAUGUAGCGGUUCACGGAUUAUGUAAGUGCGUGAUGCACAGAGGCCCGCACGACUGGAUGGAGGGGGGGCUUUCGUGAUUGAAGCCCUAGGUUCGGUCUGGCUCCUGUAGUGAUAUGGGAGGUCAUUUCCUAACGGUAGCGCGAGCACUUSGAUUGUCGACAAUWCCCGAAUCUGUCUCUGUGUUGGUUGUGGAAGAUUUUUGGGCCAUUCUACCUGUCGAGACGUAAUAGUCUUCGAGAUGGAGUAAAAAUGCGGGGCUUUAACCCGCAGCCAGCUGUGCAUGUCGCAGCCGGUUUAACGACUAAAUAACUCGGGCCCGGCUGCUUUGCCGGGACUUGAUAUAGUCUAAGCACGCUUUUGAGCAAGAAGCCGUGUGUGCGUGCAUUAAAUCAGUUAUCGUUUAUUUGAUAGUACCUUUACAUGGAUAACCGUGGUAAUUCUAGAGCUAAUACAUGCUAAAAACCUCAACUUCGGGAGAGGUGUAUUUAUUAGAUAAAAAACCAAUGCCCUUCGGGGCUGCUUGGUGAUUCAUAAUAACUUAACGAAUCGCAUGGCCUUGCGCUGGCGAUGGUUCAUUCAAAUUUCUGCCCUAUCAACUUUCGAUGGUAGAGUAGUGGUCUACCAUGGUCUCGACGGGUAACGGGGGUUGAGGGACCGACUCCGGAGAGGGAGCCUGAGAAACGGCUACCACAUCCAAGGAAGGCAGCAGGCGCGCAAAUUACCCAAUCCCGAUACGGGGAGGUAGUGACAAUAAAUACUGAUACAGGGCUCUUAUGGGUCGUGUAAUUGGAAUGAGUACAAUUUAAAUCCCUUAACGAGGAACAAUUGGAGGGCAAGUCUGGUGCCAGCAGCCGCGGUAAUUCCAGCUCCAAUAGCGUAUAUUAAAGUUGUUGCCGUUAAAAAGCUCGUAGUUGAACUUUGGGCCUGGCUGAUCUGUCCUCCUAAUCGAGCGCACGGAUUCGGUCGGGCCUUUCCUUCUGGGGAACCCCAUGUCCUUUACUGGGCGUGGCGGGGAACCAGGACUUUUACCUUGAAAAAAUUAGAGUGUUCAAAGCAGGCCUUUGCUCGAAUACAUUAGCAUGGAAUAAUAGAAUAGGACAUCGGUUCUAUUUUGUUGGUUUCUAGGACCGCUGUAAUGAUUAAUAGGGAUAGUCGGGGGCGUCAGUAUUCAAUUGUCAGAGGUGAAAUUCUUGGAUUUAUUGAAGACUAACUAUUGCGAAAGCAUUCGCCAAGGAUGUUUUCAUUAAUCAGUGAACGAAAGUUAGGGGAUCGAAGACGAUCAGAUACCGUCGUAGUCUUAACCAUAAACUAUGUGGACUAGGGAUCGGACGGUGGUUUUUUUAUGCCCCGUUCGGCACCUUACGAGAAAUCAAAGUUUUCGCACUCGGGGGGGAGUAUGGUCGCAAGGCUGAAACUUAAAGAAAUUGACGGAAGGGCACCACAAGGCGUUAAAUGCAGACUCUGCGCCUAAUUUUUAUAAGUGCGUCGUGAAGACGUGCUAUACACCUUCACUGCGUGGACGUUCUAAA
rnacentral:rRNA from 1 species